CACGUAGGGUGCGAGCGUUGUCCGGAAUUAUUGGGCGUAAAGAGCUCGUAGGCGGUGUGUCGCGUCGGCCGUGAAAACCUGCAGCUUAACUGUGGGCGUGCGGUCGAUACGGGCAUCACUGGAGUUCGGCAGGCGAGUGGAAUUCCCGGUGUAGUGGUGAAAUGCGUAGAUAUCGGGAGGAACACCAGUGGCGAAGGCGACUACCUGGCCUGUUCUUGACGCUGAGGCGCGAAAGCUAGGGGAGCAAACGGG
rnacentral:rRNA from 1 species